UACGGAGGUUGCGAGCGUUGUUCGGAAUGACUGGGCGUAAAGGGAGCGCAGGCGGUUUGGCAAGUCUAAAGUGGAAGCCCGGGGCUUAACCUCGGAAGUGCUUUGGAUACUGCCUGACUUGAGUUCGUGAGAGGAAAGCGGAAUUCCAGGUGUAGCGGUGAAAUGCGUAGAUAUCUGGAGGAACACCGGUGGCGAAAGCGGCUUUCUGGCACGAUACUGACGCUGAGGCUCGAAAGCAUGGGGAGCGAAC
rnacentral:rRNA from 1 species